UAGGGAAUCUUCGGCAAUGGGGGGAACCCUGACCGAGCAACGCCGCGUGAGUGAAGAAGGUUUUCGGAUCGUAAAGCUCUGUUGUUAAGGAAGAACGAGUGUGAGAAUGGAAAGUUCAUACUGUGACGGUACUUAACCAGAAAGGGACGGCUAACUACGUGCCAGCAGCCGCGGUAAUACGUAGGUCCCGAGCGUUGUCCGGAUUGAUUGGGCGUAAAGCGAGCGCAGGCGGUUAGAUAAGUCUGAAGUUAAAGGCAGUGGCUCAACCAUUGUAGGCUUUGGAAACUGUUUAACUUGAGUGCAGAAGGGGAGAGUGGAAUUCCAUGUGUAGCGGUGAAAUGCGUAGAUAUAUGGAGGAACACCGGUGGCGAAAGCGGCUCUCUGGUCUGUAACUGACGCUGAGGCUCGAAAGCGUGGGGAGCGAACAGG
rnacentral:rRNA from 1 species